rnacentral:misc_RNA from 1 species
GUAGGUGAACCUGCGGAAGGAUCAUUACAUAUUGAGCGCGGCUGGGAUCUCCAGGAGCCAUCGUCUUGCCUUUGGCAGGCGUAACUCUUGCCCAGUUUUGCGUGAAUAUUCACCCAUGUCUUUUGCGUACUUCUUGUUUCCUUGGUAGGCUCGCCUGCCAUUAGGACAACCAUUAAACCUUUUUGUAAUUGCAGUCAGCGUCAGUAAAAUUUAAUCGUUACAACUUUCAACAACGGAUCUCUUGGUUCUG